UACAGAGGUCUCAAGCGUUGUUCGGAUUCAUUGGGCGUAAAGGGUGUGUAGGUGGCGCCGUAAGUCGGGUGUGAAAUUUCGGAGCUUAACUCCGAAACUGCAUUCGAUACUGCGGUGCUUGAGGACUGGAGAGGAGACUGGAAUUCAUGGUGUAGCAGUGAAAUGCGUAGAUAUCAAGAGGAACACCAGUGGCGAAGGCGAGUCCCUGGACAACACCUGACACUGAGGCACGAAAGCUAGGGGAGCAAACAGG
rnacentral:rRNA from 1 species